UUACUUCUAUAGCCCCCUGCUGGGAUUAGGUUUAUUGAAAUUUAUAGGUUAAAAAAAUUUUAUUUAUGUUUGGAAAUUAGGUUUAAUUUUUUAUGUUAUAUGUAAAUUUUUUUAGAAAAUAAUUAGCAGUAAUUGAUUUUAAUUAUUUAAGAAAUUAAGAAUUAGAAAUAAUUAGUAAUAUUAACUAAAUUUGUGCCAGCAGUUGCGGUUAUACAAAUAAUAUAAUUUAAUUUAUUUAAUUUUAAUUAAUUAGUAAAAAAAUUAGAUAUUUAAGUUUGUUAUGUGAAAUUUUCAAAUUUAUAAAAAAUUUAUUUUAUUAAAUGAAGUUAAAAAAUUUUAAUUAUUAAACUAGGAUUAGAUACCCUAUUAUUUAAAAUGUAUUUUAUUAGAAUUAAAUUAUUAAUAGUUAUGUUCUUUAAAAUUAAAAAUUUUGGCGGUAUUAUAGUCUUUUCAGAGGAACCUGUUUUUUAAUUGAUAAUCCACGAUUAAAUUAACUUAUUUUAAUUAAUUUACAUAUCAUCGUAGUUUAAAUAUUUUUUAAGAAUUUAAAUAUUUAAGAUUUUCUAUUAAAAAUUAAAUCAGAUCAAGGUGUAGUUUAUAGAUAAGAUAAAAUGGGUUACAUAUAAUUUUAAUAUAAGAUUAAUAUUAUAAUAGUAUUAUAAAUAAGGAUUUGAAAGUAAUUUUAAUUAUUUAAUUAAAUUGAUUUUAGCUCUAUAAUAUGCACAUAUCGCCCGUCGCUUUCAUUUAAAAUGGAAUAAGUCGUAACAAAGUAGAUUUACUGGAAAGUGAAUCUAGAUU
rnacentral:ncRNA from 1 species